CAUUUGAAAUUGAUCCAAACUCCUCGGUCUCUUUCACCAGAGUAGAGGCAGAAAACAGCAUCCAUUUCCAACCCCCCCUUCUCCUCCUCCUCCGUCUUGAAAGGGUGACAAAAUGGUAGUGUCGAUGGGAAGCCGGAUCUCCCCGUCGGCCACGGCCCACCACCGCCUCGGUGCGGCCGGGAUCGGGGCGUUCCGAGAAGGAGAGAUGAUGGGAAAGAGGAUGGACUGGUGUCGCCACCGCCACCACAACCGCCCAAGCGGUGGCCGGAAGCACUCCGUCCGAAUGUCCAUUGCAACCGCCGACCUCGCCUCCGAGGUCAAGUUCAAGGAUUUGGAUCUAGAGUGGCGAAACCCCCGGACGGUUGUGGCAGUUAUUCUUGGUGGAGGAGCUGGAACCCGUCUUUUUCCUCUCACCAAACAAAGGGCCAAACCGGCAGUGCCUAUAGGAGGUGCAUAUAGGUUAAUUGAUGUGCCAAUGAGCAACUGCAUAAACAGUGGAAUCAAUAAAGUGUAUAUCCUCACUCAGUUCAACUCUGCAUCGCUUAAUAGACAUCUUUCACGAGCUUACAACUUCAGCAAUGGUGUAAACUUUGGAGAUGGCUUUGUUGAGGUCUUAGCAGCCACUCAGACUCCUGGUGAGGCAGGAAAGAGGUGGUUUCAGGGUACUGCAGAUGCUGUUCGGCAAUUUCAUUGGCUUUUUGAGGAUGCCAAAGGUAAGGAGAUAGAGGAUGUAUUGAUCCUCUCUGGGGACCAUCUUUACCGUAUGGACUAUAUGGACUUUGUUCAGAGUCACCGACAAAGUGGUGCUGAUAUUACUAUUUCAUGUCUUCCAAUGGAUGAUAGCCGUGCAUCAGAUUUUGGUAUGGUGAAAAUAGACAACAAAGGAAGGGUCAUCUCGUUCAGUGAAAAGCCAAAAGGAGAAGAUUUGAAAGCAAUGGAAGUGGACACUACUGUAUUGGGGUUGUCACGAAUUGAGGCAGAAAAGAAACCAUAUAUUGCUUCUAUGGGAGUAUAUAUAUUCAAGAAGGAGAUACUUCUAAAUCUUCUAAGAUGGCGGUUUCCAACUGCAAAUGACUUUGGAUCUGAAAUAAUUCCUGCCUCUGCGAAAGAGUUCUUCAUCAAGGCUUAUCUUUUCAACGAUUACUGGGAGGAUAUUGGGACUAUUAAAUCCUUCUUUGAAGCGAACCUUGCCCUUGCUGCACAUCCACCAAACUUCAGCUUUUAUGAUGCAACAAAGCCAAUGUAUACAUCACGCAGAAACUUGCCACCAACAACGGUUGACAAUAGCAAGAUUGUCGAUUCAAUUGUUUCCCAUGGAAGUUUCUUGGACAGCUGCUUGAUAGAGCACAGUGUUGUUGGUAUUCGAUCUCGAAUAAACUGCAAUGUGCAUUUAAAGAACUACAUAUGCAGGACACAGUUAUGCUUGGUGCUGACUACUAUGAAACAGAUGCUGAAAUAGCAUCAUUGCUAGCUGAAGGAAGGGUUCCUAUUGGAAUUGGAGAAAACACAAAAAUAAGGGAAUGUAUCAUUGACAAGAAUGCAAGAAUUGGAAAGAAUGUGAUAAUUUCAAACUCAGAUAGGGUGCAGGAAGCAGAUAGAUCUUUUGAAGGCUUCUAUAUCCGAUCUGGCAUCAGCGUCAUACUAAAGAACUCAACAAUCAGUGAUGGAUUUGUCAUAUAAUUCUCAAUUUUUUCUCUUUUUGGUCAACGAAGAAGAUUAGCAUGGAAAUGUGGAAACCACCAUGAGAAAUUGCAUAUAGCAAUCCAAUAUCAGCAUGUAGAUCAUCAAUGAAUAUACUGCUACUUCAUGUGAAUAUUCUCCAUAUCCAUUAUUUUAAUGACUUCCACUAUCCAAAUGACCAUGCUUCAUACUUUACAAUAUUCUAUAUCUAAAUAACAUUUUAUAUCAAA